rnacentral:misc_RNA from 1 species
AAGUCGUAACAAGGUUUCCGUAGGUGAACCUGCGGAAGGAUCAUUAAUGAAAGUCUGGGGUCUUUACCGACCCUCUCUCUUCUACACACUUGUGAACCUUACCCUUCUCUGUCAGGUUCUUUGGAAACGGCCCUCGGGCUCGGACAUUGACCCGACGGAGAGUAUUUCAAAAACACAUUCUUUAUGUCUGAUUCUUGUUUUAAACAAAACUAAAUAAAA